AGUGAGUGCUGGCUUCCAGAGGGAUUCUGAGUGAUGUUCAAGCACACAAAAAAGAAAGUGCUGGAGGACAUAAUAUUAGAAUGAAGACUUUGGAGAGAUUCAUUUAAUCUCUACUGCAUCACCUAUUACUUUUGAUCUGAGGACUUUCAUCACAGCAUGGACUAUGAUAUUAUGAUAUUUCUAUCAAUUGUCUGUACUUCCUAGUUGAUCUGAGUGUCUUUGAAAGCAAACUUUGUAUUAUUUUAUUGAUAAAAAU